rnacentral:rRNA from 1 species
UACAGAGGAUGCAAGCGUUAUCCGGAAUGAUUGGGCGUAAAGCGUCUGUAGGUGGCUUUUUAAGUCCGCCGUCAAAUCCCAGGGCUCAACUCUGGACAGGCGGUGGAAACUACCAAGCUGGAGUACGGUAGGGGCAGAGGGAAUUUCCGGUGGAGCGGUGAAAUGCGCAGAUAUCAGGAGGAACACCGGUGGCGAAGGCGGGUCUCUGGGCCGAUACUGACGCUGAGGAGCGAAAGCGUGGGGAGCAAACAGG